rnacentral:rRNA from 1 species
GCGGAAGGAUCAUUACCGAGUGAGGGCCCUCUGGGUCCAACCUCCCACCCGUGUUUAUUUACCUUAUUGCUUCGGCGGGCCCGCCUUCACUGGCCGCCGGGGGGCUCACGCCCCCGGGCCCGCGCCCGCCGAAGACACCCCGAACUCUGUCUGAAGAAUGAAGUCUGAGUGAAAAUAUAAAUUAUUUAAAACUUUCAACAACGGAUCUCUUGGUUCCGGCAUCGAUGAAGAACGCAGCGAAAUGCGAUACGUAAUGUGAAUUGCAAAUUCAGUGAAUCAUCGAGUCUUUGAACGCACAUUGCGCCCCCUGGUAUUCCGGGGGGCAUGCCUGUCCGAGCGUCAUUGCUGCCCUCAAGCCCGGCUUGUGUGUUGGGCCUCGUCCUCCGAUUCCGGGGGACGGGCCCGAAAGGCAGCGGCGGCACCGCGUCCGGUCCUCGAGCGUAUGGGGCUCUGUCACCCGCUCUGUAGGCCCGGCCGGCGCUUGCCGAUCAACCCAAAUUUUUAUCCAGGUUGACCUCGGAUCAGGUAGGGAUACCCGCUGAACUUAAGCAUAUCA